CUUCCAGAUUGCAAGUAGAUGCAGGCAUGUGCUCUGAGAAAAGGUCAUCUGAGGACAAAGUACCCGUCUGCAAGCCAGGAAGAGAGCCCUUGCCAGAAACUAAACCCCGCUGGAAACUUGAUUUUGCGCUUUCCAGCCUCUAGAACUGUGGACACCGAAAUUCUUUGCCUGAAAACCUUUUAAAAAUAUGAAAACAAGACAAAAAAUGGCUGGGUUUUCUUUUAGAGUGGCAAUGUCAUUUGUCCAGAAGGGGGAGCUCUCAGUCCGCAUGCAGCGGAGCAAGGCAGACAGUCUGGUAUCUUAUCUGCUGCUUGGGAAAUUGUCUGACAGGAAAAUAUCAACACAAACCAUGCGAUUUGCCGCUGGAGCACGCUGGACCUCAUCUGCUUAAAAAGAUGCACGGAUAUAGUCA
rnacentral:lncRNA from 1 species